GAUGAACGCUAGCGGGAGGCCUAACACAUGCAAGUCGAACGGGAUUGAGAGCUUGCUCUCAUGAGAGUGGCGCACGGGUGAGUAACGCGUAUGCAACCUACCUUUAACAGAGGGAUAGCCCAUAGAAAUGUGGAUUAAUACCUCAUAGUUCUUUUGGCCCGCAUGGGUUGAAAGAUAAAGCCACCAGGCGGUUAAAGAUGGGCAUGCGUGACAUUAGCUAGUUGGUAAGGUAACGGCUUACCAAGGCUACGAUGUCUAGGGGUUCUGAGAGGAUGAUCCCCCACACUGGUACUGAGACACGGACCAGACUCCUACGGGAGGCAGCAGUGAGGAAUAUUGGUCAAUGGGCGCAAGCCUGAACCAGCCAUCCCGCGUGCAGGAUGACGGCCCUAUGGGUUGUAAACUGCUUUUAUACACCAAGAAAAACUUCCACGUGUGGAAGCCUGACGGUAGUGUAUGAAUAAGCAUCGGCUAACUCCGUGCCAGCAGCCGCGGUAAUACGGAGGAUGCAAGCGUUAUCCGGAUUCAUUGGGUUUAAAGGGUGCGUAGGCGGCCUUUUAAGUCAGUGGUGAAAUCUUGCCGCUUAACGGUAAAAUUGCCAUUGAUACUGAAAGGCUUGAGUACAUUUGAGGUAAGCGGAAUGUGUAGUGUAGCGGUGAAAUGCUUAGAUAUUACACAGAACACCAAUUGCGAAGGCAGCUUACUAAACUGUUACUGACGCUGAUGCACGAAAGCGUGGGGAGCGAACAGGAUUAGAUACCCUGGUAGUCCACGCCGUAAACGAUGCUCACUCGCUGUUUGCGAUACACAGCAAGCGGCCAAGCGAAAGCAUUAAGUGAGCCACCUGGGGAGUACGAUCGCAAGGUUG
rnacentral:rRNA from 1 species